rnacentral:rRNA from 1 species
GAUGAACGCUGGCGGCGUGCCUAAUACAUGCAAGUCGAGCGAACGGACGAGAAGCUUGCUUCUCUGAUGUUAGCGGCGGACGGGUGAGUAACACGUGGAUAACCUACCUAUAAGACUGGGAUACCUUCGGGAAACCGUAGCUAAUACCGGAUAAUAUUUUGAACCGCAUGGUUCAAAAGUGAAAGACGGUCUUGCUGUCACUUAUAGCUGGAUCCGCGCUGCAUUAGCUAGUUGGUAAGGUAACGGCUUACCAAGGCAACGAUGCAUAGCCGACCUGAGAGGGGGAUCGGCAACACUGGAACGGGAGCACGGUCAAGACUCCUGCGAGAGGGAGCAGUAGGGAAUCUUCCGCAGUGGGCGAAAGCCUGACGGAGCAACGCCGCGUGAGUGAUGGAGGUCUUCGGAUCGUGAAACUCUGUUAGGAGGGAAGAACAUAUGUGUAAGUAACUGGGCACAUCUUGACGGUAACUGAUAAAAAAGCCACGGCUAACUACGUG